UCGGAGGCCCGCACUUCUCUCGGUGUAGGACGUCGCGACCCGCUCUGCGGCGGUCUAACGGCCGGAAGAGCGUCUGGUCGGGGCCCGUCCCUCGGGGCGUGCUCCCUUCCAGCUCUCCGGACCCGCGGCCGUCGGUCCGGGCGGUACGAAACGACUUCAGCGCUGGGCCGCUCCUAGAGAGCGCCGAGCCUCCCCGCAAGCUCGGGCCGGGACUGCCGGGUCGUUCCCUCACGGGCACGCUCGGCGCCCGCUCGGACUGUUGGCGGGUGACGGCUCCGGCUGUCCGUCCAGCACGCUCGUCGGCGGCGCUUCAGAUUCGGGCACUUAUCCGACCCGUCUUGAAACACGGACCAAGGAGUCUAGCGUGUGCGCGAGUCAUUGGGUUCUCUAAACCUAAAGGCGCAAUGAAAGUGUCAGAGGGCGCUAGCCGCUCUCAGUGGGAGGAUGGGCUCCCGGCCUCCGGGCCGGCGCUCCGCACUCCCGGGGCGUUUCAUUCUCAUUGCGAGUCGAGACGCACCAGGAGCGCACACGCUGGUACCCGAAAGAUGGUGAACUAUGCCUGGCCAGGACGAAGCCAGGGGAAACCCUGGUGGAGGUCCGAAGCGAUUCUGACGUGCAAAUCGAU
rnacentral:rRNA from 1 species